UGUUGCUACUGCCGCCCAGCGAGCAGCACUUCCCUGCAGCAGACAGACGAUCCAGAGGCUGGGGAAUCAGUAAAGACACAACCCAGCCCGUCUUUGCUCAGCUCGGCGCAGCCCGACUCAGACACUCGAAGAGGCUGGGGAGGGGGAUAUACCGCAACGCAUUCAAACACACACACGCGUGCGCGCACUAAGGCACACUCCUCCUCUCUCACUCACUCACUCGCUCUCUUUCUCUCUCUCUCACUCUGGUGCUCAGCUCUGCGCUGCUCCUUCACUCAUUCGCUGCUGAUUCACUCACUCCCUCGCUUGCCUCUCCUCUGCCAGUCGCUCUGCCUCGCUGUGUUCCGCCUGCCUUCCCCCUGCCCGCCCGCCUGCCUGAGAAUGGUCCAGCCGGUGCCUAAGGGUCUGCUGUCGCGGCCUGUCUGAAUGCGUGCAUAAACACACGAGAGCCAGUCGACACACGGAAGCUCACACUCACAGAACCGGAGAGCAAUGUGAGAGAGGAAGUGCCUUCCCUGAUGUCUGCUGCAGCUUUGACCUGCUUCUACAGCUGAAGCUUCAUCCUCCCCUCUCCCCUCGCUCGCUCGCUUGCUGCCACAGUUGUAAAAGUAAAAAGGACAACGACCGACCCCACCCUUUCCCAGUCGCUACACCAUCAGCAUCCUCUCUAGCAUCAGCCCUACUCACCAGACGGCCCCGCUGCUCCCCCGCCAGCCGACCGGCCUUACCGCUGCACCACCAGGCCCCACAAACAAGCAUUUCACCCACCUUGCCUUUCACCAUCGCCUUCUACCCCUUGAGGCCUCCGCUCAGUCCUCAGUGUCCUUAACCUUCCCGAAGCAGACUAUAUAGACUGUCACCUUCGUUGCCUGCUUCGAUACACCCGAGCAGAGGGGCUCUCCGUUUCGGAUGCCGCAUAAGGGAGUGAGCAAUAAACAGAAACAGUGAGGAGGGACGACGUGCUAGGCUGAGGGGUCUCCUGGGUGUCAGAGCUUUGCCAGGCGUCGCUUGCAUCAAGGAAAAUGACCCAUUAACGUCCACAGCAAGCACUGUCCUGCAGCAUUUCACCAGGGCGCAUUUUUCCUGAAUGUUUCAUCUCAACUCAUCACAAGCAGCAACUAUACCAAGGAAGACUUUCUUUUUUUAAAAAAAAAAAGAAACGGCAAUUGUGGAUUAAAACACUAGAAGUACUUUAUCCGCACUUGAACGCAUCUCUGCUAGGAACACCUUUUGCCUGCGGCGUCGCCAUGGCCAUGAACAUGAACAUGGCGCACAUCCGCGACACAAAGUGGCUCACACUGGAAGUAUGCCGGGAGUUUCAGAGGGGCACGUGCUCGCGCUCCGACCAGGAGUGCAAGUUCGCCCACCCAGCCAAGAGCUGCCAGGUGGACAACGGACGGGUGAUCGCCUGCUUUGAUUCGCUUAAGGGCCGUUGUUCCAGGGAGAACUGCAAGUACCUGCACCCUCCUCCCCAUUUAAAGACCCAGCUGGAGAUCAAUGGCAGGAACAAUCUGAUUCAGCAGAAGAAUAUGGCCAUGCUGGCCCAGCAGAUGCAGCUCGCCAAUGCUAUGAUGCCCGGCACCCAGCUACCCCCUAUGCCCAUGUUUUCGAUGACCCCAGGCCUGGCCACCAACGCCAGCGCAGCAGCAGCUGCCGCCGCUGCAGCCUUUAAUCCCUACCUGAGCCCUGUGUCUCCGAGCCUGAUGCCUCAAGAGAUCAUGCCCAGCACCCCCAUGCUAAUGGCCUCCAGUCCCACGGUCAACCAAGUUCCCAACGCCGCUGCGGCUGCAGCCCAGAAACUGCUGAGAACGGACCGGCUCGAGGUGUGCCGCGAGUAUCAGAGGGGAAACUGUGCUCGGGGGGAGGGCGAGUGCCGCUUCGCUCACCCCGCAGACAGCACCAUGAUCGACACCAAUGACAACACCGUCACCGUGUGCAUGGACUACAUCAAGGGUCGGUGCACCAGGGAAAAGUGCAAGUACUUCCACCCUCCGGCCCAUCUGCAGGCCAAAAUUAAGGCCACCCAGCAUCAGGUGAACCAGGCCACGGCUGCCGCGGCCAUGACUCAGUCGGCUGUCAAAUCACUGAAGCGACCCCUCGACGCAACCUUUGACCUGGGCAUCACCCCUAGUGUCAUGGCUCCCCUUCCAAAACGGGCAGCCCUGGAGAAGGCCAACGGGGCCACAGCCAUGUUUAACACCGGCAUGCUUCAGUACCAACAAGCCCUGGCCAGCAUGCAGUUUCAGCAGCAGGCUGCUUUCCUCCCAUCAGGCUCAAUAUUGUGCAUGACACCUGCAGCCAGCGUUGUUCCCAUGAUGCACGGUGGUACUCCAGCCACUGCAGCCACCACAUCUGCCACAAGCGUUCCCUUCGCAACUGCCUCCACCAAUCAGGACUCUUCCUUAUCAAAGUUGACUACCAACGAAUACAUGCAAUUGGUAUGUAUGAGAUUCCAAUAAUAUCUGCAGAUCAUCUGAGUAGUCACAAGUACUUGACUCAAAUGUAGUUCCUCUUAAGAACAAUCAAAUGAAUGUGUGCUGGCACCGUCCAAGCCAAAAGAGUUAAGCCUUUAUGUACAUAACCUUCAGAAUGUCAAGCAAUGGGACAAGGAGGGUCAGCCAUCUCUUAGCCUGUCCCCAGCCAGGGACUCGUCACAUGCGUCAAGGGUACAACACACGAUCUGUGCCAUCCUCCCACAUAUCAAUAUCCAGAAGAAUUCGCCGUCAGAAUCAACGUCCAGCGGAGAAGAAGAAGAAGAGGAUAAGUUGGUGGAAACAAUCACGCGAUACCUCUGUGUCUAACUGAAUCCUGGCACUCUUCGCCACUCGUUAUCAUUACCGCAUGCACAGGAGGUCAAGAGCCUUGUUACACGAGACAACAUCUAGUGCUGGUACGUUAACAGACCAAGGGUUUUCCUUCCUUUUUCUUAUUAGUUCUUUUUUUUAUCCAGCUUUUAUUUACAAUUGAUAGCCAUAUUUCACAGUUUACAAGUGGAAUGCAAAUAUGCACCUUGAAUUUAAUUGAAAUCCGAAAGGCACAAUGAUAACAGAUAUUUUUUUUUGUCUUUUUGUUUUUAGUUUAGUUUUUUUCUCUCUCUCUCUCUCUUACUCUGCCAAAUGCAUCCGGCAUGUACAGUAUUGUGUUUUACGGCUACUAGUGAAACUAGAUGUUGAAAUGAGGGUUUUGGACAUAUGAAUGUUCUGGGUAAACCAACACACCUGUGUACCUUGAAAGCACAGCCAGGCUAGCUUUUCUCACCUUGUCAUGUGCCAUCGAGGCCGUACAGCUAAAACCAGAGUGUUAUAUCAGCAGUGUUAUUUGUUUACCGAAGGUAAAAAAAAAAAAAAAAAAAAAAAAAGUUUUGUAUGGCUCGUUUUGUAUUGUUUUCUUUUAGGAUCUCCAUUGUGAGUGUUUUUUUUUUUUUAAUCAUCAUAAUUUCAAUCUUUUUUUUUUUUUAGAUUUGAUUAGAUUUGAAAGUGGGGUUUAAUGUGUUUGAUUGUUUUUUAUUAUUAUAAUUCAAAUGGAGGUGUUUUUUUGUGUUUCGUUUUUUUAAAUCAGAGAUGCCUCAUUUAAUGAACUAGUUUUUUUUUUUAUUUGUCAGGUUAAUUUGUUAAUCAAGUCCGUCGACUCUAAAGCCUGGGGGAAAUAGAGGGGGUAGCUUUAUUCAGCGUCGCGUCACCUUAUUCCCUUCCUUUUUCAAAGAGGAGCAGCUCUAUAACCGUGUCUCUAGGAAGCACUUUUGAGCCAUUUAACAACAACAGGCCCAAAGGUCUAGUAGGUCAUCAAAAACCAUGUGUGCACUUCAAUUUGUCAGGUCACUCUGAUUUAGUUUCUCAUUUUUGCUUGGAUGCAGCUCGCAUUUUAAGUAAAAUACGACGCUUUUGUUGAUCUCACUAUGAAACCAAAGCACAGAUUUGCUCUUAAGUCUUAUUCACACUUAAGUCGAGGAUUAAACAGAUAAGGAAUAUAUAUUAAUUAUCUUUCCUCCGUGUGUGUGUUUUACGAUUGUUUCCCUCUUAGGUUUUCACAGAAGCGUGUGCCGUGUUUUUACCGAUGUUGUGUACCUAACAAAGCCUUAGAUCACGAUUUAUGGGCUUUGCCCAGUCAAAUGUCCUUUCAAUCACCAUGCAAGUAAAAAUAGAAAAAAAAAGUAAAACACCAAUGAUGUUUUAUAGUUCUCACAAGCCGCUUUUAAUCUUUUUUUUUUUUUGUUCGUCUCUGUCUCGCUCUCCGAAACAAUUACCCUCCUAGAUUUCAUUGAGUUUAUGUGUUAUGUACUACUUAAGAAUUAAAAUCUGAGGUAUGUAGUUUUAGAUUUUUCUCUUUUUUGUCUUUUUUUUUUUUUGCCUUACUAUAUUAUUACUUGACAACAUUCAUAUAGCCGUUGUAGACGUUAAGAUAGUAUGACAUUCAUAACUUUUUCAAACCAUAUAGAGGUUAAUGUGUUUAAAUACUCACUUCAUUCAUAUAGCUGGACGUCUUUUCUCAUUUGUUGUUGUAUUUGUCAGUUAAUUUUAUUGAUGAGAAACUUUUUGAUACGAGGAAUGAGGUGAUUAUCGGAAUAGCUUCGAUGUUCCUUGUAACAUGUCAAUGUCAUGUUUGAAAAUGCUAUAUUGUAUUGAUAAAAAAAAAUGGAUUGUCCAUGUUUUAGAGAGGAAAAAAAAAAUAACAAUUAUUUUCUACUGUAUCCAUUUCAAAGAAAUAUGUAGUUUUGUUUGAAUAUUAAGUUUGCCCUGAAUGUCGGGCCAAAACGAGCAGUGAGACUGAUGUUGAUGUUUGUUGAGAUUUGGAGUGAGGAGAGCCGAGGCUUUUCCCCACCACCCCCACUGGGGAAGAGUCGGACAUGCUGCAGAUAAUGAGUUCUAACCUAAGGGACAAAGGUUAACUUUUUGCACUUCUGUAUAUAGUAAAAUGAACAGAGAAAAAAAAAAACGUGUAUCAUAAUGAGAUAUUAUUUUGAAUAAAAGAAAAAAAGAUCUAUAAUUAUAAGGAAUUUUGUUAGAUUAAUUUAAAAUUCUUAAAUUAGAAGACCAGCUAAAAUUCGCUUGCAAAGAAGGGCACUAGUUUCUUGGCCAAUGCAUUCAGAGAAAGCUAUGCGCUUGUUUUAUAGGUGGCUCGUAAUGCCAGGGAACGUUGCAGGGGAGUGGAUUUCCCCGUGUCAUGCUAACUCUAUGCCUCUGAUAGGAUGACAUAUCCAUUAAGGUCCAUAUACUCAUUUACUGGACAAACAUUAUCCCAUGGUACAGUAGAUACAUGAAUCUAUUAAAAAAAAACAAUGCCUUCUACUAUAAUUUGAUUUGAUUGCAUGUAAACAAAAGAAGCUGUGUAGAUAUAUAAGGAAAGACGGCACCCGCAGAAUAAAGGAUCCACAGUACUUUAAAAAAAAAAAAGUUAGUUAUUUUGUUUCUGAAAUCAUACAACACCUACAGCAAGGAGAAAUAAGACUUUAAAAACGAGUCGUCUUACUCAAGAGUCUCCAAGCAAACAAGUGAUUUAAAGAAUAAUAACAUAUUAGCACUUGUCCACCUCAGAUAUGUUCCGAUAGAGAAUUACAGUCUCCACUAACUCACAAGCAGUUAUUCCUGCUUUUCUUAGCUGUGCACUCAGCAGGCGAAGGCUCGUCACACCAAAUGCACAUUUGGCAAAUUCCUCUUUAAAAUGAAUGUAAUAGUCAGUGUCAAUAUGUUUCUACCUUGAGGCUGCUUUGUAUAGUCGCUACAUAAACCAAAGCACCAUUUUCUCAAAAGCAAGACUAUUCAAGUCUUCUGGCUGCAACCAAGGUCUUUCUUCCCUGCUGGGUGCACAUGUUUGCUUUUGACUGCUUUUUACUUGUACGCGCACCCACCAGUUAUGUAUUUGCUAACCGCUGUCACACGAUAAUGUACUAUUCUGUCUCCAGAUUUGUUUAUGCUCAUUUUAUUGUUGCCAUAAUUGACUCUUGCUGUAUGGAUGAAAAUUAAAAAAAAAAAAAAAUCUGAAUAAAACUAUUUGAUUUGCUCAUGCAA